AAAAAUACGCAUAUUUUGCUUUGAUAUUGAUAUUUAUAAUUUGGUGUUCUGGGACUUUAUUUAUAACUACGAUUUUUAGUUUAUGCAGAACGCUCAAUAAAAAAAGUUCAAUCUUGAGAAUUUUCCUAUAUAGUAUUUUACUGCCUGCUUUUAAAGAAAGUACGGUGAUGUCAAAAUUAAUUGACAUUAUUAAGAAUUUGGACUAUCCAAAGUCAAAAUUAGAUCUGAAGUUCCUAUGUGAAGUUCGUAAUAGAAAGUGAUGAUCAGGAGAUGAUUAAAGCUUUGUUUUAUUUUGGGAAAAGGGUGAGGUACAAAGUAUGCUCUACCACGAUAUUUUGAAGUAAUCACUCUACCUCACUCUUUUCCCAAAAUAAAAAGCUAAAGCAUGCAAUUAUGGCGCGUAUUUGCUAAAGGCAAGUAUCUAAUAAUAUAUGAUGCGGAUGACAAAUCAGACUAAUUGCCUUUAAAAAAGGCGUUGAUCGAAUUUAAUGAACAUGAUAAAAAAAUUAGCAUGUGCUUAGCCUGUGCAUAGGCUUGGUUAAAUUAUUAUAACUACAACCAUAAUUUCCUAACAGAAUUUUUCUUUUUGGAAUAUAUAAACUAGUCUAUUAUUUGCUAUCCAGGCUGCAAAAAUGAAUAUGCCAGCACCUUUGGGUCGUAGUCAUUUCUAG